ACGAACGCUGGCGGCGUGCUUAACACAUGCAAGUCGAACGGAAAGGCCCUGCUUUUGUGGGGUGCUCGAGUGGCGAACGGGUGAGUAACACGUGAGUAACCUGCCCUUGACUUUGGGAUAACUUCAGGAAACUGGCGCUAAUACCGGAUAGGAGCUCCUGCUGCAUGGUGGGGGUUGGAAAGUUUCGGCGGUUGGGGAUGGACUCGCGGCUUAUCAGCUUGUUGGUGGGGUAGUGGCUUACCAAGGCUUUGACGGGUAGCCGGCCUGAGAGGGUGACCGGCCACAUUGGGACUGAGAUACGGCCCAGACUCCUACGGGAGGCAGCAGUGGGGAAUAUUGCACAAUGGGCGGAAGCCUGAUGCAGCAACGCCGCGUGCGGGAUGACGGCCUUCGGGUUGUAAACCGCUUUCGCCUGUGACGAAGCGUGAGUGACGGUAAUGGGUAAAGAAGCACCGGCUAACUACGUG
rnacentral:rRNA from 1 species